UACGGAGGAUCCGAGCGUUAUCCGGAUUUAUUGGGUUUAAAGGGUGCGCAGGCGGGAGAUUAAGUCGGCGGUGAAAUUUUGCAGCUCAACUGUAAAAGUGCCUUCGAAACUGGUUUCCUUGAGUGUAGAUGAAGUAGGCGGAAUUUGUGGUGUAGCGGUGAAAUGCAUAGAUAUCACGAGGAACUCCGAUUGCGCAGGCAGCUUACUAAACCACUACUGACGCUCAGGCACGAAGGCGUGGGGAUCAAACAGGAUUAGAUACCCCCGUAGUCCCU
rnacentral:rRNA from 1 species